CCUACGGGGUGCAGCAGUGGGGAAUUUUGGACAAUGGGCGCAAGCCUGAUCCAGCUAUUCCGCGUGUGGGAAGACGGCCUUCGGGUUGUAAACCACUUUUGUAGAGAACGAAAAGUCUGUUGAUAAUACCGAUAGAUGAUGACGGUACUCUAAGACUAAGCACCGGCUAACUACGUGCCAGCAGCCGCGGUAAUACGUAGGGUGCGAGCGUUAAUCGGAAUUACUGGGCGUAAAGGGUGUGCAGGCGGUUUUGCAAGAUGGAUGUGAAAGCCCCGGGCUUAACCUGGGAAAGCCAUACAUGACUGCAAGACUAGAGUGCGUCAGAGGGGGGUGGAAUUCCAAGUGUAGCAGUGAAAUGCGUAGAUAUUUGGAAGAACACCGAUGGCGAAGGCAGCCCCCUGGGACGCAACUGACGCUCAUACACGAAAGCGUGGGGAGCAAACAGGAUUAGAUACCCGAGUAGUC
rnacentral:rRNA from 1 species